UGGGGAAUAUUGGGCAAUGGGCGAAAGCCUGACCCAGCAACGCCGCGUGAAGGAAGAAGGCUUUCGGGUUGUAAACUUCUUUGACGAGGGACGAUAAUGACGGUACCUCGAAAACAAGCCACGGCUAACUACGUGCCAGCAGCCGCGGUAAUACGUAGGUGGCAAGCGUUGUCCGGAUUUACUGGGUGGAAAGGGCGCGUAGGCGGGAGUACAAGUCAGAUGUGAAAUCUGGGGGCUUAACCCUCAAACUGCAUUUGAAACUGUAUUUCUUGAGUAUCGGAGAGGCAGGCGGAAUUCCUAGUGUAGCGGUGAAAUGCGUAGAUAUUAGGGGGAACACCAGUGGCGAAGGCGGCCUGCUGGACGACAACUGACGCUGAGGCGCGAAAGCGUGGGGAGCAAACAGG
rnacentral:rRNA from 2 species